rnacentral:rRNA from 1 species
GGUGAACGCUGGCGGCGUGCCUAACACAUGCAAGUCGAACGAAGCACCUUACCUGAUUCUUCGGAUGAAAGUUUGGUGACUGAGUGGCGGACGGGUGAGUAACGCGUGGGUAACCUGCCCUGUACAGGGGGAUAACAGCUGGAAACGGCUGCUAAUACCGCAUAAGCGCACGAGGAGACAUCUCCUUGUGUGAAAAACUCCGGUGGUACAGGAUGGGCCCGCGUCUGAUUAGCUGGUUGGCAGGGUAACGGCCUACCAAGGCAACGAUCAGUAGCCGGUCUGAGAGGAUGAACGGCCACAUUGGAACUGAGACACGGUCCAAACUCCUACGGGAGGCAGCAGUGGGGAAUAUUGCACAAUGGGGGAAACCCUGAUGCAGCAACGCCGCGUGAGUGAAGAAGUAUUUCGGUAUGUAAAGCUCUAUCAGCAGGGAAGAUAAUGACGGUACCUGACUAAGAAGCUCCGGCUAAAUACGUG